UCCGGUUUGUCACCGGCAGUCUCAUUAAAGUGCCCUUACGUAGCAAUUAAUGACAAGGGUUGCGCUCGUUGCGGGACUUAACCCAACAUCUCACGACACGAGCUGACGACAGCCAUGCAGCACCUGUGUUCAGGUUCUCUUUCGAGCACUUUCACCUUUCAGCAAAAUUCCUGACAUGUCAAGGGUAGGUAAGGUUUUUCGCGUUGCAUCGAAUUAAUCCACAUCAUCCACCGCUUGUGCGGGUCCCCGUCAAUUCCUUUGAGUUUUAAUCUUGCGACCGUACUCCCCAGGCGGUGUACUUCACGCGUUAGCUGCGUUACCAAGCCCGUAAAGGCCCAACAACUAGUACACAUCGUUUAGGGCGUGGACUAC
rnacentral:misc_RNA from 1 species